CUAAUACUAGCCUAUAAAAUAAAUUAAUUUUAAUAAAAUUUUUAAUUCAACUAAAACAUUCAAUUAACUAAAUCAGUAUAGGAGAUAGAAAAUUUAUAUAGCGCAAUAGAUGAAGUACCGUAAGGGAAUGAUUGAAAGAAUAAUUAAAAGUGAAAAACAGCAAAGAUUAAAACUUGUACCUUUUGCAUAAUGAUUUAGCCAGAAUAAAAUUAACGAAGAGAACUAAAGCUAAUAACCCCGAAAUCAGACGAGCUAUCUAACAACAACCUUAUGGGUUAACUCGUCUAUGUGGCAAAAUAGUGAGAUGAUUGUUAGAUAGAGGUGAAAAGCCUACCGAGCCUGAUGAUAGCUGGUUGUCCAAAUAAGAAUUUUAGUUCAACUUUAAAUUUACCUAUAUAACAGUUAAUUAAAUGUAAAUUUAAAAUAUACUUCUAAGAGGGACAGCUCUUAGAAAAAGGUAUACAAACCUACUCAGAGAGUAAUAAAUUUUACAAACAUAGUAGGCCCAAAAGCAGCCAUCAAUUAAGAAAGCGUUAAAGCUCAAAAUUAUAUAAAUUUUAAUCCCAAAAGCUUAUUUUAACUCCUGACAUAAAAUUGGACCAAUCUAUUCUAUAGAAAUAGAAGAAAUACUGCUAAUAUGAGUAACAAGAAUUAACUUCUCCUAGCAUAAUUUUAUAUCAGACCGAAUAAUUCACUGAUAGUUAACAAUUUCAAUGGAUAAAAAUAAAUAUAAAUUUACCAUUAAUAAAUUUGUUAACCCAACACAGGUAUGCACUUAAGGAAAGAUUAAAAGAAUUAAAAGGAACUCGGCAAACACAAGCCCCGCCUGUUUACCAAAAACAUCACCUCUAGCAUUACUAGUAUUAGAGGCACUGCCUGCCCAGUGACAUAGUUCAACGGCCGCGGUAUCCUGACCGUGCAAAGGUAGCAUAAUCACUUGUUCUUUAAUUAAGGACUUGUAUGAAUGGCCACACGAGGGUUUAACUGUCUCUUUAUUCAAAUCAGUGAAAUUGACCUUUCCGUGAAAAGGCGGAAAUACUAAAAUAAGACGAGAAGACCCUAUGGAGCUUUAGUUUUUAAACUAACUGUAAAUAUAAUAAAUCUAAGGAUAUAAAAAAAACAUAAUUAGUAAUAAACUUUGGUUGGGGUGACCUCGGAGAACAAAAUAACCUCCGAAUGAUUUUAAUCCUAGACUUACAAGUCAAAGUCUAAUCAAUUAUUGAUCCAGUAUAUAUCUGAUCAACGGAACAAGUUACCCUAGGGAUAACAGCGCAAUCCUAUUCAAGAGUUCAUAUCGACGAUAGGGUUUACGACCUCGAUGUUGGAUCAGGACAUCCAAAUGGUGCAACAGCUAUUAAUGGUUCGUUUGUUCAACGAUUAAAGUCCUACGUGAUCUGAGUUCAGACCGGAGUAAUCCAGGUCGGUUUCUAUCUAUUAUAUGUUUCUCCUAGUACGAAAGGACCAGAGAAACAAGGCCAACUAACACAUUAGAGCCUUAUACCAAGUAUAGAUGACAUAAUCUUAAUCUAGAUUAUUAAGUAUUAGUUAUAUAGCCCAAGAGAAGGGCUU
rnacentral:rRNA from 1 species